rnacentral:lncRNA from 1 species
GAGAUAUUUCCAUAUUGCUUCUUGAUUGGCAUUGUCACUUGCAAUUUGCUUUUGCUUUUUAUCUGAGUAUUAUCAGUUGUGUGAUUUAUCCUUAACCAUCUUUUCACUAUAGGAAUAUAAUCCCAUUCCUUUAGAGGUGGGCCGAACCCUAUUUAUACAUUUUUCAUUUCUAUGUUUUUUGCUCUUGUAUGUUGUGUUUUGUACACUCUUUCAAUUUUGCAUGUAAAAUCAUUCCACUUUCGCGUUUUCCAUUUAUACGUUUUCGCAUUUGUAGGCUUUUAUUUUUAUUCUCCCGGAAUCGUCUCGUCGGACUUAUACAUAAAAUCCAAGAAAUCUUUGCCUAACUUUUUCGACAAAGGAACAAUUUGUUAUACUGUACGCUAUAUCUCACGAAAUAGAAAGUAGAAUGAAUACAAAAGUAAAACCAAACCAAAUCUUAUCCCACUAGUCUUUCUACCGACAUUAUGUAAAGUUGUGUUACACUGGAAGUAAUGCAACGUUACAUAAGAUCAAAAAACAUUAGUGAUGACAAGAUGUAUAUAGUAGUUGGAUAUGAAGACUUAUUCU